rnacentral:rRNA from 1 species
GCAAGGUUAAAACUCAAAUGAAUUGACGGGGGCCCGCACAAGCGGUGGAGCAUGUGGUUUAAUUCGAUGCAACGCGAAGAACCUUACCUGGUCUUGACAUCCACAGAACUUUCCAGAGAUGGAUUGGUGCCUUCGGGAACUGUGAGACAGGUGCUGCAUGGCUGUCGUCAGCUCGUGUUGUGAAAUGUUGGGUUAAGUCCCGCAACGAGCGCAACCCUUAUCCUUUGUUGCCAGCGGUUCGGCCGGGAACUCAAAGGAGACUGCCAGUGAUAAACUGGAGGAAGGUGGGGAUGACGUCAAGUCAUCAUGGCCCUUACGACCAGGGCUACACACGUGCUACAAUGGCAUAUACAAAGAGAAGCGACCUCGCGAGAGCAAGCGGACCUCAUAAAGUAUGUCGUAGUCCGGAUUGGAGUCUGCAACUCGACUCCA